CAUGCAAGUCGAACGGAGACCCCUCAAAAGGUCUUAGUGGCGAACGGGUGAGUAACGCGUAAGUAACCUACCUUUAAGACGAGGAUAACAAUCGGAAACGGUUGCUAAGACUGGAUAGGAAAUAAAAAGGCAUCUUUUUGUUUUUAAAAGACCUUCUUCGGAGGGUAUGCUUAAAGAGGGGCUUGCGCCACAUUAGUUAGUUGGUGAGGUAAAGGCUUACCAAGAUUAUGAUGUGUAGCUGGACUGAGAGGUUGUACAGCCACAUUGGGACUGAGACACGGCCCAAACUCCUACGGGAGGCAGCAGUAGGGAAUUUUCGGCAAUGGAGGAAACUCUGACCGAGCGACGCCGCGUGAACGAUGAAGUAUUUCGGUAUGUAAAGUUCUUUUAUUGAAGAAGAAAAAAUAGUGGAAAAACUAUCUUGACGUUAUUCAAUGAAUAAGCCCCGGCUAACUAUGUGCCAGCAGCCGCGGUAAGACAUAGGGGGCGAGCGUUAUCCGGAAUUAUUGGGCGUAAAGGGUGCGUAGGCGGUUAGAUAAGUCUAUAAUUUAAUUUCAGUGCUUAACGCUGUCUUGUUAUAGAAACUGUCUUGACUAGAGUGAGAUAGAGGCAAGCGGAAUUCCAUGUGUAGCGGUAAAAUGUGUAAAUAUAUGGAGGAACACCAGAAGCGUAGGCGGCUUGCUGGGUCUUUACUGACGCUGAGGCACGAAAGCGUGGGGAGCAAACAGGAUUAGAUACCCUGGUAGUCCACGCUGUAAACGAUGAGUACUAAGUGUCGGGGCAACUCGGUACUGAAGUUAACACAUUUAAGUACUCCGCCUGAGCAGUACGUACGCAAGUAUGAAACUUAAAGGAAUUGACGGGACUCCGCACAAGCGGUGGAUCAUGUUGUUUAAUUCGAAGAUACACGAAAAACCUUACCAGGUCUUGACAUACUCUGCGAAGCUAUAGAAAUAUAGUGGAGGUUAUCAGGGAUACAGGUGGUGCAUGGUUGUCGUCAGUUCGUGUCGUGAGAUGUUAGGUUAAGUCCUAAAACGAACGCAACCCCUGUCGUUAGUUACCAGCACGUAAUGGUGGGGACUUUAGCGAGACUGCCAAUUAAACAUUGGAGGAAGGUGGGGAUAACGUCAAAUCAUCAUGCCCCUUAUGAUCUGGGCUACAAACGUGAUACAAUGGCUGUUACAAAGAGUAGCUGAAACGCGAGUUUUUAGCCAAUCUCAAAAAGACAGUCUUAGUCCGGAUUGAAGUCUGCAACUCGACUUCAUGAAGCUGGAAUCGCUAGUAAUCGCGAAUCAGCAUGUCGCGGUGAAUACGUUCUCGGGGUUUGUACACACCGCCCGUCAAACCACGAAAGUUAGCAAUACCCGAAAGCAGUGGCUUAACUUCGCAAGAAGAGGGAGCUGUCUAAGGUAGGGUCGAUGAUUGGGGUUAAG
rnacentral:rRNA from 1 species